rnacentral:rRNA from 1 species
AAUGGGGGCAACCCUGAUCCAGCCAUGCCGCGUGAGUGAAGACGGCCUUAGGGUUGUAAAGCUCUUUCAAUUGUGAAGAUAAUGACGGUAGCAAUACAAGAAGCUCCGGCUAAAUUCGUGCCAGCAGCCGCGGUAAUAUGAAUGGAGCAAGCGUUGUUCGGAAUCACUGGGCUUAAAGCGUAUGUAGGCGGAAAUGCAAGUCAGGCGUGAAAUCCCGAGGCUCAACCUCGGAACUGCGCUUGAAACUGCAUUUCUAGAAUCCUGGAGAGGUUAGGAGAAUUCCGAGUGUAGAGGUGAAAUUCGCAGAUAUUCGGAGGAAUACCAGUGGCGUAGGCGCCUAACCGGACAGGUAUUGACGCUCAGAUACGAAAGCGUGGGGAGCAAACAGGAUU